rnacentral:rRNA from 1 species
UACAGAGGUGGCAAGCGUUGUUCGGAAUUACUGGGCGUAAAGGGCGCGUAGGCGGCCUUCUAAGUCGAACGUGAAAUCCCUGGGCUCAACCCAGGAACUGCGUCCGAUACUGGAAGGCUUGAAUCCGGGAGAGGGAUGCGGAAUUCCAGGUGUAGCGGUGAAAUGCGUAGAUAUCUGGAGGAACACCGGUGGCGAAGGCGGCAUCCUGGACCGGUAUUGACGCUGAGGCGCGAAAGCCAGGGGAGCAAACGGG